AAACUGGGGAGUCUGAUCUUCCCUAACAAACAGAUGCCAACCUUCUCCAUAUGCUACACAAACAGUUUCAUAUGUAUGCAGCUCAGUGGUUCUGAGAACCUGAAUGUGUGAUGUUACAAGAGAAAAUGAAAAGAUUGAAAGAAUAAAACUGCCAAAUGUCAAACUUACAAGGACCUGCUGAUAUUCAGGACAAAAUCCAAAUUCAGAAUUUUACAGAAUAUACUGUGGAUGGAAGCAAGACCUGUCCUCAAAGGAAUGUUUUCUUCAAGAAAAGUUGCCCAUUCUGAGCAUUUUCCAGUUCUUCUGGUGUUUUAUCUCCUGGUUUCUGAGACUGCUACACACUGCUUAAGACAGGG